AGGGUGACGUCACUGACCGUGCACGCGGAGCGCUGAUGAGCGGGACAUCCAGGACACACGGAACGCGUUUUUGCGAUGAAAUGGAACACACCAAACGGAACAGACCAGAGAGAGGUCUCGAGCCGACGACACGGACACGCAGAGAUGGACUUGUGGAUAUCGAGGGCUGUGCAGGAAGCACUGUUAUGCGCAGGAGUACAUGAUUGGUUAUCAUGGUUGCCCUCGAAGAUACAGGUGCUGUGCUUUGCGAUUUUAAC